GGUUGUAGCUCAGUGGUAGAGCACUUGCCUAGCAUGUGUAAGGUUCUGGGUUCCAUCCCCAGCACCA
rnacentral:tRNA from 1 species